AUCGACAAGAACUUCAACUUUCCAGUUCUUAUCCCUUUUUCCUGAUCUACGAAGUAUCUUUUUGAAUAUUCGUGAUAUUAGAAACGAAGAUGAGGUUUUUUCUGUUUCCCACACUCACCUGAAUAUCCAAGAUUGUGUCCUUCGUAUUAUCGUAACUUGUGAAUUGCCCCGUAUCAAGCUUAUGAAGCUGAUUAAAAGCGUUAUGGUCGAGUUCCCUAAUUGU